rnacentral:rRNA from 1 species
GCGUUGUUCGGAAUUACUGGGCGUAAAGCGUACGUAGGCGGAUUGGUAAGUUGGGGGUGAAAUCCCAGGGCUCAACCCUGGAACUGCCUCCAAAACUAUCAGUCUAGAGUUCGAGAGAGGUGAGUGGAAUUCCAAGUGUAGAGGUGAAAUUCGUAGAUAUUUGGAGGAACACCAGUGGCGAAGGCGGCUCACUGGCUCGAUACUGACGCUGAGGUACGAAAGUGUGGGGAGCAAACAGGAUUAGAUACCCUGGUAGUCCACACCGUAAACGAUGAAUGCCAGUCGUCGGGCAGUAUACUGUUCGGUGACACACCUAACGGAUUAAGCAUUCCGCCUGGGGAGUACGGUCGCAAGAUUAAAACUCAAAGGAAUUGACG